GUGAGGAAUAUUGCGCAAUGGAGGCAACUCUGACGCAGCCAUGCCGCGUGCAGGAAGAAGGCGCUACGCGUCGUAAACUGCUUUUAACCGGGAAGAAACCCCGGGACGUGUCCUGGGUUGACGGUACCGGAGGAAUAAGCACCGGCUAACUUCGUGCCAGCAGCCGCGGUAAUACGAAGGGUGCAAGCGUUAUCCGGAUUCAUUGGGUUUAAAGGGUGCGUAGGCGGAGCGUUAAGUCAGUGGUGCAAUCCUGCAGCUUAACUGUAGACUUGCCAUUGAUACUGGCGCUAUGGAGUGCGCUUGAAGUGGGCGGAAUGUGCCGUGUAGCGGUGAAAUGCUGAGAUAUGGCACAGAACACCAAUUGCGAAGGCAGCUCACUAAGGCGAUACUGACGCUGAGGCAUGAAAGCGUGGGGAUCGAACAGGAUUAGAAACCCGUGUAGUCC
rnacentral:rRNA from 1 species